rnacentral:rRNA from 1 species
GAUGAACGCUAGCUACAGGCUUAACACAUGCAAGUCGAGGGGUAACGAGAGGAAAGCUUGCUUUCCUUGUCGACGACCGGCGCACGGGUGAGUAACGCGUAUCCAACCUGCCCCCAACUAGGGAAUAACCUUGCGAAAGUAAGACUAAUACCCUAUAAUUUCCUCAGAUGUCAUCUGACGAGGAAUAAAGAUUUAUCGGUUGCGGAUGGGGAUGCGUCUGAUUAGCUUGUUGGCGGGGUAACGGCCCACCAAGGCAACGAUCAGUAGGGGUUCUGAGAGGAAGGUCCCCCACAUUGGAACUGAGACACGGUCCAAACUCCUACGGGAGGCAGCAGUGAGGAAUAUUGGUCAAUGGGCGGAAGCCUGAACCAGCCAAGUAGCGUGCAGGAUGACGGCCCUAUGGGUUGUAAACUGCUUUUAUACAGGAAUAAAGUUAGCCACGUGUGGUUAUUUGUAGGUACUGUAUGAAUAAGGACCGGCUAAUUCCGUGCCAGCCGCCGCGGAAA